CUAAUACAUGCAAGUCGAGCGGAUUGAUGGGAGCUUGCUCCCUGAAAUCAGCGGCGGACGGGUGAGUAACACGUGGGUAACCUGCCUGUAAGACUGGGAUAACUCCGGGAAACCGGGGCUAAUACCGGAUAGUUCUUUUCCUCGCAUGAGGAAAAGUGGAAAGGCGGCUUCGGCUGCCACUUACAGAUGGACCCGCGGCGCAUUAGCUAGUUGGUGAGGUAACGGCUCACCAAGGCAACGAUGCGUAGCCGACCUGAGAGGGUGAUCGGCCACACUGGGACUGAGACACGGCCCAGACUCCUACGGGAGGCAGCAGUAGGGAAUCUUCCGCAAUGGACGAAAGUCUGACGGAGCAACGCCGCGUGAGUGAUGAAGGUUUUCGGAUCGUAAAGCUCUGUUGUUAGGGAAGAACAAGUGCCGUUCGAAUAGGGCGGCACCUUGACGGUACCUAACCAGAAAGCCACGGCUAACUACGUGCCAGCAGCCGCGGUAAUACGUAGGUGGCAAGCGUUGUCCGGAAUUAUUGGGCGUAAAGCGCGCGCAGGCGGUCUCUUAAGUCUGAUGUGAAAGCCCACGGCUCAACCCGUGGAGGGUCAUUGGAGACUGGGGGACUUGAGUACAGAAGAGGAAGAGU
rnacentral:rRNA from 1 species